rnacentral:rRNA from 1 species
UACGGAGGGGGCUAGCGUUGUUCGGAAUUACUGGGCGUAAAGCGCGCGUAGGCGGCUUUGUAAGUUAGAGGUGAAAGGCCCGGAGCUUAACUCCGGAACUGCCUUUAAGACUGCAUCGCUAGAAUCGUGGAGAGGUGAGUGGAAUUCCGAGUGUAGAGGUGAAAUUCGUGGAUAUUCGGAAGAACACCAGUGGCGAAGGCGACUC